rnacentral:snRNA from 1 species
GGAGACUUUGGAAAGCCAACAAA